rnacentral:lncRNA from 1 species
AAAUAUCUUCAACACUCGGAAUAGAAAGAGAGAGGAAUGAAUAACAAGAUAGGCUCAUAAGAAUUCCCAACAUAGGAAAGAAUUACAAGGAUGAAUGGAUAAGAUGACACAGACAACUAAAUUAAAAUCACCGGAAAAAUAACAAGACUGAAUAAGGAUGAACAUGAAGCUCCUGAGAAUCUUCACAAUGAAUCACCGGGUAAGAGAGAACAGAACAGACAGCGGAAGCACCAUGAAAAGAAAACUCUUGGAUGAAAAUCCAAUCACUGAAAAAAGGGUGGAAGGGCGGGGAAAAACAAAGACGACUUGGAACAGAUGAGAUGAACUCCG